rnacentral:rRNA from 1 species
CAGCAGCCGCGGUAAUACGUAGGUGGCAAGCGUUGUCCGGAAUUAUUGGGCGUAAAGGGCUCGCAGGCGGUUUCUUAAGUCUGAUGUGAAAGCCCCCGGCUCAACCGGGGAGGGUCAUUGGAAACUGGGAAACUUGAGUGCAGAAGAGGAGAGUGGAAUUCCACGUGUAGCGGUGAAAUGCGUAGAGAUGUGGAGGAACACCAGUGGCGAAGGCGACUCUCUGGUCUGUAACUGACGCUGAGGAGCGAAAGCGUGGGGAGCAAACAGGAUUAGAUACCCCGGUAGUCCCAGUCUCUUAUAA